rnacentral:lncRNA from 1 species
AGAGACAGGUUUAUACCGACAACCUAUAGAGAGAAAGAGACAGGUUUUACCGACAACCUAUAGAGAGAAGAGACAGGUUAUACCGACAACCUAUAGAGAGAAGAGACAGGUUAUACCUACAACCUAUAGAGAGUAGAGACAGGUUAUACCAGACCUACAACCUAUAGAGAGUAGAGACAGGUUAUACCAAACAGGGACUGGUCCCAGGUGGUUAA